rnacentral:rRNA from 1 species
GAAAGGCCCUUCGGGGUACUCGAGCGGCGAACGGGUGAGUAACACGUGAGCAACCUGCCCCAAGCUUUGUGAUAACCCUCGGAAACGGGGGCUAAUACCGAAUAUUACCGUCGGCCGCAUGGCUGGUGGUGGAAAGUUUUUCGGCUUGGGAUGGGCUCGCGGCCUAUCAGCUUGUUGGUGGGGUGAUGGCCUACCAAGGCGACGACGGGUAGCCGGCCUGAGAGGGCGACCGGCCACACUGGGACUGACACUGGUCAAUAUAUAUACGGGAGGCAGCAGUGGGGAAUAUUGCACAAUGGGCGGAAGCCUGAUGCAGCGACGCCGCGUGAGGGAUGACGGCCUUCGGGUUGUAAACCUCUUUCAGCAGGGACGAAGCGAGAGUGACGGUACCUGCAGAAGAAGCACCGGCCAACUACGUGCCAGCAGCCGCGGUAAGACGUAGGGUGCGAGCGUUGUCCGGAUUUAUUGGGCGUAAAGAGCUCGUAGGCGGCUUGUCGCGUCGACCGUGAAAACUUGGGGCUCAACCCCAAGCCUGCGGUCGAUACGGGCAGGCUAGAGUUCGGUAGGGGAGACUGGAAUUCCUGGUGUAGCGGUGAAAUGCGCAGAUAUCAGGAGGAACACCGGUGGCGAAGGCGGGUCUCUGGGCCGAUACUGACGCUGAGGAGCGAAAGCGUGGGGAGCGAACAGGAUUAGAUACCCUGGUAGUCCACGCUGUAAACGUUGGGCGCUAGGUGUGGGGGGCCUCUCCGGUUCCCUGUGCCGCAGCUAACGCAUUAAGCGCCCCGCCUGGGGAGUACGGCCGCAAGGCUAAAACUCAAAGGAAUUGACGGGGGCCCGCACAAGCGGCGGAGCAUGCGGAUUAAUUCGAUGCAACGCGAAGAACCUUACCUGGGUUUGACAUGGCCGCAAAACCUCCAGAGAUGGGGGGUCCUUCGGGGGCGGUCACAGGUGGUGCAUGGCUGUCGUCAGCUCGUGUCGUGAGAUGUUGGGUUAAGUCCCGCAACGAGCGCAACCCUCGUUCGAUGUUGCCAGCGCGUUAUGGCGGGGACUCAUCGAAGACUGCCGGGGUCAACUCGGAGGAAGGUGGGGAUGACGUCAAGUCAUCAUGCCCCUUAUGUCCAGGGCUUCACGCAUGCUACAAUGGCCGGUACAAUGGGCUGCGAUACCGUGAGGUGGAGCGAAUCCCAAAAAGCCGGUCUCAGUUCGGAUCGGGGUCUGCAACUCGACCCCGUGAAGUCGGAGUCGCUAGUAAUCGCAGAUCAGCAACGCUGCGGUGAAUACGUUCCCGGGCCUUGUACACACCGCCCGUCACGUCACGAAAGUCGGCAACACCCGAAGCCGGUGG